UACGGGGGGGGUAAGCGUUGUUCGGAAUUACUGGGCGUAAAGGGCUCGUAGGCGGCCAACUAAGUCAUACGUGAAAUCCCUCAGCUUAACUGGGGAACUGCGUGUGAUACUGGAUGGCUUGGAUUUGGAAGAGGGAUGCGGAAUUCCAGGUGUAGCGGUGAAAUGCGUAGAUAUCUGGAGGAACACCGGUGGCGAAGGCGGCAUCCUGGACCAAUAUUGACGCUGAGGAGCGAAAGCCAGGGGAGCAAACGGG
rnacentral:rRNA from 1 species